rnacentral:rRNA from 1 species
UGGUGGAGUGAUUUGUCUGGUUAAUUCCGUUAACGAACGAGACCUCAACCUGCUAAAUAGUACCGUUCAUGUUUCGGCAUGGACUGGCGACUUCUUAGAGGGACUAUCGGUGUGUAACCGAUGGAAGUUUGAGGCAAUAACA